GGACGAAUUCGUGGCUCAGCACUGGGGGGCUCUUGGUGCUUUUCUUGCGAAUCGCCAUGGUGGGGCCGCCGCCCGCGCCUGCAGGUGCUCCGCCCCGGUUCUGCUCUUCCCAGCUGCUCACCGACUCGCCGCCGCCUCCCGCUGGCUGCUCCUCACGGCCCCGCUGCAGCCGCUCGCUGGGGCUUCACUUCCCAUCCCACAGCCAGUACGCAGCCGCCGGGCCGCCCGGGGGAAAAAAAAAAA
rnacentral:lncRNA from 1 species